CGGUGAGUGAAGAAGGCCUUCGGGUUGUAAAGCUCUUUCAGUUGAAAAGAAAAAGUUAGUGACUAAUAAUCAUAACUCAUGACGGUAUCAACAGAAGAAGCACCGGCUAACUACGUGCCAGCAGCCGCGGUAAUACGUAGGGUAGCAAGCGUUAAUCGGAAUUACUGGGCGUAAAGGGUGCGCAGGCGGUUCUGUAAGUCAGAUGUGAAAUCCCCGGGCUCAACCUGGGAACUGCGUUUGAAAACUGCAGAGCUAGAGUGCAGCAGAGGGAGGUGGAAUUCCAUGUGUAGCAGUGAAAAUGCGUAGAGAUAUGGAAGAACAUCGAUGGCGAAGGCAACCUCCUGGGCUAGCACUGACGCUCAUGCACGAAAGCGUGGGGAGCAAACAGGAUUAGAUACCCUGGUAGUCCACGCCCUAAACUAUGUCAACUAGUUGUCGGGUCUUAUUAGACUUGGUAACGUAGCUAACGCGUGAAGUUGACCGCCUGGGGAGUACGGUCGCAAGAUUAAAACUCAAAGGAAUUGACGGGGAC
rnacentral:rRNA from 1 species